GCACGGACACACUGGAACUGAAACACGGUCCAGACUCCUACGGGAGGCAGCAGUGGGGAAUUUUGCGCAAUGGGGGAAACCCUGACGCAGCAACGCCGCGUGGAGGAUGAAAUCCCUUGGGAUGUAAACUCCUUUCGAUAGGGAAGAUAAUGACGGUACCUAUAGAAGAAGCCCCGGCUAACUUCGUGCCAGCAGCCGCGGUAAUACGAGGGGGGCAAGCGUUGUUCGGAUUUAUUGGGCGUAAAGGGUGCGUAGGCGGUUUGGCAAGUCUUGUGUGAAAUCUUUGGGCUCAACCCAAAGUCUGCAUAAGAAACUGCCGGGCUUGAGUAUGGGAGAGGUGAGUGGAAUUUCCGGUGUAGCGGUGAAAUGCGUAGAUAUCGGAAGGAACACCUGUGGCGAAAGCGGCUCACUGGACCAUUACUGACGCUGAGGCACGAAAGCUAGGGGAGCAAACAGGAUUAGAUACCCUGGUAGUCCUAGCCCUAAACGAUGAUUGUUUGAUGUGGCAGGUACCCAAUCCUGCCGUGUCGAAGCUAACGCGAUAAACAAUCCGCCUGGGGAGUACGGUCGCAAGGCUGAAACUCAAAGGAAUG
rnacentral:rRNA from 1 species